GUUACAUGGUAAUCUAUAUAUAUAUUAUCCCAUGUAAACAGUCAUAAUGGUUUACGAUGUAUAUCACAGAUUAUACAAACUAUACACUCAACAUAAAAAUAAUGGACCACCCCAACAUUCAAUAUAUAUAUAUAGAGAGAGUGAA